CUUGCUUCUUGGCCUCAUGGCUAAGAUCAAGCGUAGUAUCUGUUCUUAUCAGUUUAAUUUCUUUUGAUGGACACUUGCAACAUCUGCUCUGAAGAUGGAUUCUCCUGCUGCCAUUUUUGAAAAAACUGAUGCUGCUUUGAAGAUGUAUUCCACUGCUGCUACUUUGGAAGAAAAAUCC
ensembl:snRNA U2 U2 spliceosomal RNA